rnacentral:rRNA from 1 species
UGUAGCUUGCUACAUUACCUAGCGGCGGACGGGUGAGUAAUGCUUAGGAAUCUGCCUAUUAGUGGGGGACAACAUUCCGAAAGGAAUGCUAAUACCGCAUACGUCCUACGGGAGAAAGCAGGGGACCUUCGGGCCUUGCGCUAAUAGAUGAGCCUAAGUCGGAUUAGCUAGUUGGUGGGGUAAAGGCCUACCAAGGCGACGAUCUGUAGCGGGUCUGAGAGGAUGAUCCGCCACACUGGGACUGAGACACGGCCCAGACUCCUACGGGAGGCAGCAGUGGGGAAUAUUGGACAAUGGGGGGAACCCUGAUCCAGCCAUGCCGCGUGUGUGAAGAAGGCCUUUUGGUUGUAAAGCACUUUAAGCGAGGAGGAGGCUACUAGUAUUAAUACUACUGGAUAGUGGACGUUACUCGCAGAAUAAGCACCGGCUAACUCUGUGCCAGCAGCCGCGGUAAUACAGAGGGUGCGAGCGUUAAUCGGAUUUACUGGGCGUAAAGCGUGCGUAGGCGGCUGAUUAAGUCGGAUGUGAAAUCCCUGAGCUUAACUUAGGAAUUGCAUUCGAUACUGGUCAGCUAGAGUAUGGGAGAGGAUGGUAGAAUUCCAGGUGUAGCGGUGAAAUGCGUAGAGAUCUGGAGGAAUACCGAUGGCGAAGGCAG